rnacentral:rRNA from 1 species
UACGAAGGGGGCUAGCGUUGUUCGGAAUUACUGGGCGUAAAGCGCACGUAGGCGGCUUGGUAGGUCCGCUGUGAAAACUCGAGGCUCAACCUCGAGAUGUCGGCGGAAACCACUUGGCUAGAGUCCGGAAGAGGAGAGUGGAAUUCCUGGUGUAGCGGUGAAAUGCGCAGAUAUCAGGAAGAACACCUAUGGCGAAGGCAGCUCUCUGGGACGGUACUGACGCUGAGACGCGAAAGCGUGGGGAGCAAACAGG